rnacentral:rRNA from 1 species
AACGAACGCUGGCGGCAUGCCUAACACAUGCAAGUCGAACGAGACCUUCGGGUCUAGUGGCGCACGGGUGCGUAACGCGUGGGAACCUGCCCUUAGGUUCGGAAUAACUCCCCGAAAGGGGUCCUAAUACCGGAUAAUGUCUUCGGACCAAAGAUUUAUCGCCUUUGGAUGGGCCCGCGUUGGAUUAGCUAGUUGGUAGGGUAAAAGCCUACCAAGGCGACGAUCCAUAGCUGGUCUGAGAGGAUGAUCAGCCACACGGGGACUGAGACACGGCCCAGACUCCUACGGGAGGCAGGAGGGGGGAAUAUUGGAAAAUGGGAGAGCGCGUGAGCCAGAAACGGCGUGGGAGUGAUGAAGGCAUUAGGGUUGUACAGCUCUUUUACGCGGGAUGAUAAUGACAGUACCGGGAGAAUAAGCACCGGCUAACUCCGUG